rnacentral:rRNA from 1 species
GACGAACGCUGGCGGCGUGCUUAACACAUGCAAGUCGAACGAUGACGACCGAGCUUGCUCGGUCUGAUUAGUGGCGAACGGGUGAGUAACACGUGAGCAACCUGCCCUUCACUCUGGGAUAACCUCGGGAAAUCGGGGCUAAUACCGGAUAUGAGCUCCUGUCGCAUGGCGGGGGUUGGAAAGUUUUUCGGUGAAGGAUGGGCUCGCGGCCUAUCAGUUUGUUGGUGAGGUAGUGGCUCACCAAGGCGAUGACGGGUAGCCGGCCUGAGAGGGCGACCGGCCACACUGGGACUGAGACACGGCCCAGACUCCUACGGGAGGCAGCAGUGGGGAAUAUUGCACAAUGGGCGAAAGCCUGAUGCAGCGACGCCGCGUGAGGGAUGACGGCCUUCGGGUUGUAAACCUCUUUCAGCAGGGAAGAAGCGAAAGUGACGGUACCUGCAAAAGAAGCGCCGGCUAACUACGUG